UUUGGGAGAGUUUGAUCCUGGCUCAGAGUGAUACGCUGGCGGUAGGCCUAACACAUGCAAGUCGAACGGCAGCACAGUAAGAGCUUGCUCUUAUGGGUGGCGAGUGGCGGACGGGUGAGGAAUACAUCGGAAUCUACUCUGUCGUGGGGGAUAACGUAGGGAAACUUACGCUAAUACCGCAUACGACCUACGGGUGAAAGCAGGGGAUCUUCGGACCUUGCGCGAUUGAAUGAGCCGAUGUCGGAUUAGCUAGUUGGCGGGGUAAAGGCCCACCAAGGCGACGAUCCGUAGCUGGUCUGAGAGGAUGAUCAGCCACACUGGAACUGAGACACGGUCCAGACUCCUACGGGAGGCAGCAGUGGGGAAUAUUGGACAAUGGGCGCAAGCCUGAUCCAGCCAUACCGCGUGGGUGAAGAAGGCCUUCGGGUUGUAAAGCCCUUUUGUUGGGAAAGAAAUCCAGCCGGCUAAUACCUGGUUGGGAUGACGGUACCCAAAGAAUAAGCACCGGCUAACUUCGUGCCAGAGCGCGGGUAAA
rnacentral:rRNA from 2 species